UCCUUUGAAGUUAGCGGCGGACGGGUGAGUAACACGUGGGUAACCUACCUAUAAGACUGGGAUAACUUCGGGAAACCGGAGCUAAUACCGGAUAACAUUUAGAACCGCAUGGUUCUAAAGUGAAAGAUGGUUUUGCUAUCACUUAUAGAUGGACCCGCGCCGUAUUAGCUAGUUGGUAAGGUAACGGCUUACCAAGGCGACGAUACGUAGCCGACCUGAGAGGGUGAUCGGCCACACUGGAACUGAGACACGGUCCAGACUCCUACGGAAGGCAGCAG
rnacentral:rRNA from 1 species